ACAGGGAUUGCCCCAGUAACGGCGAGUGAAGCGGCAACAGCUCAAAUUUGAAAUCUGGCGCGUCGGCGUCCGAGUUGUAAUUUGUAGAGGGAGCCUCAGGUUAGGGGUCGGUCCAAGUUCCCUGGAACAGGAUGCCGCAGAGGGUGAGAGCCCCGUCUCCGGCCGACGCCCGCGCCUAUGUGAGGCCCCUUCGACGAGUCGAGUUGUUUGGGAAUGCAGCUCUAAACGGGUGGUAAAUUCCAUCUAAAGCUAAAUACCGGCCAGAGACCGAUAGCGCACAAGUAGAGUGAUCGAAAGAUGAAAAGCACUUUGAAAAGAGAGUCAAACAGUACGUGAAAUUGUUGAAAGGGAAGCGUAUGUGGGCAGACUUGGCCGUGGGAUUCAGCCCGCCGUUGUGGCGGGUGCACUUUCUCGCGGCCAGGCCAGCAUCGGUUCCGGGGGCCGGACAAAGGCGACGGGAAUGUGGCUCCCCUCGGGGAGUGUUAUAGCCCGGCGUGCAAUGCGGCCACGCGGAACCGAGGACCGCGCGUUUGCAAGGAUGCUGGCGUAAUGGCCUCAUACGGCCCGUCUUGAAACACGGACCAAGGAGUCUAACAUCUAUGCGAGUGUUUGGGUGUCAAGCCCGGGCGCGGAAUGAAAGUGAACGGAGGUGGGAGUCUUUGCGGACGCACCAUCGACCGAUCCUGAAGUGUUCGGAAGGAUUUGAGUAAGAGCAUAGCUGUUGGGACCCGAAAGAUGGUGAACUAUGCGUGAAUAGGGUGAAGCCAGAGGAAACUCUGGUGGAGGCUCGCAGCGGUUCUGACGUGCAAAUCGAUCGUCAAAUUUGCGUAUAGGGGCGAAAGACUAAUCGAACC
rnacentral:rRNA from 1 species